GGGCGGGACCGCAGGGGGUUGUCCGUCCGCGGCACGCACUGCAGUCGCAGCCGCUUCACGCCCGUUCCCGCGGUUGCAACUCGAGCUGCAGCCUUCGCGCCGCCUUCAUCCCCUCAGUCACCCGCUGCGUGGUCGGCCCCUCCGGCACACGGCUCCAGCCGCGCCGCAGCCGCCUUCUGAGCCCUCAGGCCUCCCCGGUUUUCUCGCCCGGCCCGACCCAGCCCGCGAAGAUGGUGGAUCGCGAGCAACUGGUGCAGAAAGCCCGGCUGGCCGAGCAGGCGGAGCGCUACGACGACAUGGCCGCGGCCAUGAAGAACGUGACAGAGCUGAAUGAGCCACUAUCCAAUGAAGAAAGAAAUCUUCUUUCUGUGGCCUACAAGAAUGUAGUUGGGGCACGCCGUUCUUCCUGGAGGGUCAUUAGUAGCAUUGAGCAGAAGACUUCUGCAGAUGGUAAUGAGAAGAAGAUAGAGAUGGUCCGUGCUUAUCGUGAAAAGAUAGAGAAGGAGUUGGAAGCGGUAUGUCAGGAUGUGCUGAGCCUGCUAGAUAACUACCUGAUCAAGAAUUGCAGUGAGACCCAAUAUGAGAGCAAAGUGUUUUACCUGAAGAUGAAAGGGGACUAUUACCGCUACUUGGCUGAAGUAGCCACUGGAGAGAAAAGGGCGACUGUUGUGGAAUCAUCUGAGAAGGCCUAUAGCGAAGCCCAUGAGAUCAGCAAGGAGCACAUGCAGCCUACUCACCCCAUUAGAUUAGGCCUGGCUCUUAACUACUCCGUUUUCUACUAUGAGAUCCAGAAUGCCCCAGAGCAAGCAUGCCACUUGGCCAAGACCGCCUUCGACGAUGCCAUUGCUGAGCUCGACACUCUCAAUGAGGACUCCUACAAGGACUCCACUCUCAUCAUGCAGCUCCUUCGUGACAACCUAACGCUCUGGACAAGCGAUCAGCAAGACGACGAUGGUGGAGAAGGCAACAAUUAAGGCCCCUCAGGUGGACUGGCAGCGCACGCUGAUGCUACUACUGCAGUCUUUAUUUUUUUCCCAUGAGUUUGGGGGUCGGGUGGGGGAGGGAAAGGGAGGGAUGACCUUCCUAGGGAGAAACCCACGACCUGUCCUGUCUUUGAUCGCCUCUUUGACAUUUUUGCCAAAAUACCACUAGUGGAAAGUCAGGCUAGCUGUGCUGGUAUUGGAAUAGCAGCCUCACACCGGCAUAUGGACUGUUCUGUAGAUUAAUGCAAGUGGAGCUGUCUAUCUUUAAUUUAACUUAUUGCUAGAUAAUAGGAUUUUAAAAUGAAAAGGAAACUUCAGUGGAAUGGCCCUCAUUCAGUAAGUUCUGUGGUUCCAGUAAGGAUUUUUAUGUACAUAUGCUCUUGUCUUAAGUUUUGGGUACUUUCUAUCUCAUCUGUAUUAGCUGUGCAUUUUUUUCAGGGUGUACUCUACCAGACAUGGAAUAGUUUAAAUCCCAAACUGACAGACUUGGAACAUAAGGUAUAUUUAUCCUUAUGGUUUUUAGGCCUUGCUAGUUUUCUGAAGUCUCUGAUUAGAUGACAGUAUUAACACUAAAUUGCAGUUUACAGUAUUUCUACAUUACAGCCAUAUGUAACAUCAAGCCAUUGACUGUGUAUUUUUCUUUGCUAGUUAUUUUGGCUUUACAUCCUUAUUCAGCCAUAUCCAGGUUGGUUAUCUCCUAGGCCAAAGGCUUGCCUGAGAAGCAUCAAAGCUACUUUAGGUAUUGGUUAAUAGGUGCUUGGCAGGUGGCUGUGGGAUUUUUAUCUUUCUUUCCUCUUAAGUCCACCACAAAAGUUAUUAAUCACUUUAAUAGAAACAUUAAACACCACAAAAAAUAGAGAAAAUUCAGGUCUGUAUGUCAUUUAUUGCAUUGAUAUUUCAGAGAAAUCCUGAUUUGUGAGCCGCCACAGCUCCUUCCUCAGGGAUUACGCUGCCGUUUUGCUCUUCACUUGAGUCUUCCCCACUGUACCUUAUGCUGAUGCCACUCAGUUGGGUUGAAAAGGUGUGGGUUGUAGAAGCUGGGUGGCCGUUUUGAGAAAGUUUGUGGUGCAGUGUGUGAAAAUUCAGGUGCUAGAAGCUUACUGGUAGGAAAAUCCAAAAGGAAGAGCUCUGUUCAUAAACACUCCGUCCGGUUCUGGAAGCCUUGUAAGUGUGUCAGUUUUUCCUCCCUGAAAACACUUUUCCCCCAAUCAGUUGUUACAGGAACACAAACUAAAAUCAUUAUCAGAUAAUAAAUACUAAACUCCUAUUUGACCAAAACUUUCUCUAUAUAUUUUUUUCUCUUUAACAAAAACAUGGACAUCAGAUUCAUUUCUUGUGUAAUCAGUGCAUGUUUCAGAAUUGAAGGAAACCACAUUGCUAUCCUCACAAAUUUGUUUUCAUUUAGCCUUAGGUCCUCCAUUCUCAUUUUGGAUAAACCUGUCUGAAAACAUGAUCUGUUGCAUGUGUGUUCAGCCUUUUUUAUAAAAUCAGUAACUGAAUUCCCAAGAUAGGUCAUGACACCUGACUUGUUCCUUUGUUUUAUUUAGGCAAGGAGAGGUAUCAGUAAUGAUUGAGGAAAACUGACACUUGCUUUCGCUAAUACCAAAAUUGAGCUUACAAUUACGAAAUGAAUACCUUUAACAGAAUCCAGGUGACAGUGAAGAUUGAAUGGUGAUGAUACUCUGUAACAUUGCACAGUUUAUCCAGCAUGACUUUCCUUAGAAGGUUCCCUUCCUAUGCUAGAGUGAAAGUCCCAAUUAACUGAAUCCUACCAGAAGCUCUGUAAAAGCUCUUUUGCCCUUACAGGGCUCUAAAGUCAAUGCCAUGGAAGGGAAAAAGAUUUGAGGGGGGAGGAUAGGUGGGGCUUUCCUUAAUUUAUCUUCAUGUCCCGUGAGCAGUGUUGUGUCCUUGUAGCAUUUGGAAAUGAUUUACUGGAAUUACAAAACCUAUAUAUUUUUUUAAAUUUUCAGCUUUGGCUCUGGCUGCUUUUUAGAAUAAUGCAAGAUAAAAUCAUACCUGAGGGCUAAAAAUGAAGAGGAAAUGGGAGACUUGAUAUUUAAGCAGCUUGAAUGGUUUCUUUUCUUUUCUUUAUUUUUAAAGAAAUGCACUUGCCUAUGAUAUUGUCUCUCCAGUGAAAUGAUUAUUCCUCCAUUACUCUAUUGAUACAAUAUUGUGCAUGCUAGUGUUGUAUUUCUAUAAAGUAGCUUGAAAUUUAUUAACUUAUACUGUAGGUGUUAUGUAUUCCUAUGACAAAAAAUUAAGUCUUCAAAUUUUUUAAAGUUUUUUUAAUUUAAGUUUUCCUUUGGGGGUAAAGUUUGCUCUACCAAAUAGUGAUUGUAACAAAUUGAUCUGUUUUGGAUGUUGCUAUAGUGACAUGCAGUUAUAUAUUUUGGUUUUUUUUGGGGGGUGGGGCAAAAGAAACACCAGUGUUAGCUUAAUCUUAAUGUCUGGUGUUUGUCAUGGUGAAAUUAUAACUAUUACAGUGUAGGAGAACAAUGAAUAUGUUCUCUGAAUGAGCCUUUGUGCUUUUUGUCAUGUUAUGCAGUGAACUAUUUUUAAGGUCUAAUCAGUGAUUAUUUUUCCAACUCCGUGUUUCUCUAAGGAAUUAUUUCACACACGGACCAUUCUUAGCAGUUUUCCUCAGUGAUGGAAUAUCAUGAAUGUUUGAUUGGAGUUGGUAUCCUCUCUCUCCCCACUCAAAGAAUGAGGUUGGAUUCCGGGGAAAAGCGCUUACCGGGAAUCAGACACGGGUUUACUGACCUUGAAAAACCAUUGCACCUUUUGGACCUUCAUUGUUUCUCCUACAAAAAGAGUGCUUUCAACUAGAUCUUUGAAGAUGGCAUACAGUUUGUGAGAAGUGCAAAGACCUUAGUUCGAAUCACGGCUCCUCUUGAUGUUAGGGCAAAUGACUAAACUUCUAAGCCUUGGGUGGUGGGGGUUAGGGGUGGGUGUAAGUCUAAAAUUGGGUAAUGUGCCUGGUUCAGUAUCUUUCAGUUAGGUGCCCAGUAUUGUUGAAGAUCUCAUUAUGUGUUUGAUGAGGUGGUUCUUUGUACUUACAAAUGUUUAUAAAUAUACUAGAGGCCUGAUGCGUGAAA